AAGGAGUCUAACAUAUCUGCGAGUAUUUGGGUGUCAAACCCGAGUGCGCAAUGAAAGUGAACGUAGGAGCCACGCGCAAGCUGCAGCUUCGACCGGUCUGGAUAUUUAGUGAUGGAUUUGAGUAAGAGCAUAUAUGUUGGGACCCGAAAGAUGGCGGACUAUGCCUGAAUAGGGCGAAGCCAGAGGAAACUCUGGUGGAGGCUCGUAGCGAUUCUGACGUGCAAAUCGAUCGUCAAAUUUGGGUAUAGGGGCGAAAGACUAAUAGAACCAUCUAGUAGCUGGUUCCUGC
rnacentral:misc_RNA from 1 species